rnacentral:rRNA from 1 species
AGCUGGUACAUGGCCCGUACCCCAAACCGACACAGGUGGUCAGGUAGAGAAUACUAAGGCGAUCGAGAGAACUGUGGUUAAGGAACUCGGCAAAAUGCCCCCGUAACUUCGGGAGAAGGGGGACCAGUCCUGGUGACGACAUUUACUGUCUGAGCUGGGGUUGGUCGCAGAGACCAGAGAGAAGCGACUGUUUACUAAAAACACAGGUCCGUGCGAAGUCGUAAGACGAUGUAUACGGACUGACGCCUGCCCGGUGCUGGAAGGUUAAGAGGACCGGUCAGCCACUUCGGUGGCGAAGCUGAGAAUUUAAGCCCCAGUAAACGGCGGUGGUAACUAUAACCAUCCUAAGGUAGCGAAAUUCCUUGUCGGGUAAGUUCCGACCUGCACGAAUGGCGUAACGACUUCUCUGCUGUCUCAACCACAGACUCGGCGAAAUUGCAGUACGAGUAAAGAUGCUCGUUACGCGCGGCAGGACGAAAAGACCCCGGGACCUUCACUAUAGCUUGGUAUUGGUGUUCGGUUCGGUUUGUGUAGGAUAGGUGGGAGACUGUGAAACUCGCACGCCAGUGUGGGUGGAGUCAUUGUUGAAAUACCACUCUGACCGUAUUGGACAUCUAACCUCGGACCAUGAUCUGGUUCAGGGACAGUGCCUGGUGGGUAGUUUAACUGGGGCGGUUGCCUCCCAAAAAGUAACGGAGGCGCCCAAAGGUUCCCUCAGCCUGGUUGGCAAUCAGGUGUUGAGUGUAAGUGCACAAGGGAGCUUGACUGUGAGACGUACAUGUCGAGCAGGGACGAAAGUCGGGACUAGUGAUCCGGCACCGGCAAGUGGAAGCGGUGUCGCUCAACGGAUAAAAGGUACCCCGGGGAUAACAGGCUGAUCUUCCCCAAGAGUCCAUAUCGACGGGAUGGUUUGGCACCUCGAUGUCGGCUCGUCGCAUCCUGGGGCUGGAGUAGGUCCCAAGGGUUGGGCUGUUCGCCCAUUAAAGCGGCACGCGAGCUGGGUUUAGAACGUCGUGAGACAGUUCGGUCUCUAUCCGCCGCGCGCGUAAGAAACUUGAGGAAACCUGUCCCUAGUACGAGAGGACCGGGACGGACGAACCUCUGGUGUGCCAGUUGUUCCACCAGGAGCACCGCUGGUUAGCUACGUUCGGAAGGGAUAACCGCUGAAAGCAUCUAAGCGGGAAGCCUGUUCCAAGAUGAGGUUUCUCACCACCUAGCGUGGUUAAGGCCCCCCACAGACCAUGGGGUUGAUAGGCCAGAACUGUAAGCACAGCAAUGUGUUCAGGUGACUGGUACUAAUCGGCCGAGGACUUU